GAUGAACGCUAGCGGCAGGCUUAACACAUGCAAGUCGUGGGGCAGCAUAAGGGUAGCAAUACUCUGGUGGCGACCGGCAAACGGGUGCGGAACACGUACGCAACCUUCCUCAAAGCGGGGGAUAGCCUCUCGAAAGAGAGAUUAAUACCCCAUAGUAUCUUGAAACUGCAUGGUUUUGAGAUUAAAGCUCCGGCACUUUGAGAUGGGCGUGCGGCUGAUUAGGUAGUUGGUAGGGUAACGGCCUACCAAGCCAACGAUCAGUAGGUGAUGGGAAGGCAUGAUCAGAGCAACCGGCGAUAGGACCCGGGCCCCAAUCCUACGGGAGGAAGGAGUGAGGCAUAAUGUUCAAUGGAGGCAACUCUGAACCAGCCAUGACGCGGGAAGGAGGAAGGUCCUCUUGAUUGUAAACUUCUUUUAUUGAAGAAGAAACCCGCGUUUUCUAAUGCGGUUGACGGUACCCAAGGAAUAAGCACCGGCUAACUCCGUGCCAGCCGCCGCAGUAACAC
rnacentral:rRNA from 1 species